rnacentral:rRNA from 1 species
GAUGAACGCUGGCGGCGUGCCUAAUACAUGCAAGUCGAGCGAACAGACGAGGAGCUUGCUCCUCUGACGUUAGCGGCGGACGGGUGAGUAACACGUGGAUAACCUACCUAUAAGACUGGGAUAACUUCGGGAAACCGGAGCUAAUACCGGAUAAUAUUUUGAACCGCAUGGUUCAAUAGUGAAAGACGGUCUUGCUGUCACUUAUAGAUGGAUCCGCGCUGCAUUAGCUAGUUGGUAAGGUAACGGCUUACCAAGGCAACGAUGCGUAGCCGACCUGAGAGGGUGAUCGGCCACACUGGAACUGAGACACGGUCCAGACUCCUACGGGAGGCAGCAGUAGGGAAUCUUCCGCAAUGGGCGAAAGCCUGACGGAGCAACGCCGCGUGAGUGAUGAAGGUCUUCGGAUCGUAAAACUCUGUUAUUAGGGAAGAACAAAUGUGUAAGUAACUAUGCACAUCUUGACGGUACCUAAUCAGAAAGCCACGGCUAACUACGUG